ensembl:misc_RNA Metazoa_SRP Metazoan signal recognition particle RNA
GCCAGGCCCAGUGGUGCGUGCCUGUAGUCCCAGCUACUCAGGAGGCUGAGGUGGGAGGAUCACUUGAGCCCAGGAGUUCUGGGCUGUAGCGUUAUAUGCGAUCGGGUUUCCACACUAAGUUCACCAUCAAUAUGGUGACCUCCUGGGAGCUGGGGACCACCAGGUUGCCUUAGGAGGGGUGAACCGGCCCAGGUCGGAAAUGGAGCAGGUCAUAACUCCCGUGCUGAUCAGUAGUGGGAUCGCACCUGUGAAUAGCCACUGCACUCCAGCCUGGGCAAUAUAGCGAGACCCUGUCUCUA